CAACCCUUCAUCCUAACUUCUCUGAGUGACAAAAGGCACCCUAAUGGCUCUAUAUCCUAUUAGGAAUGUCGGCCAAUGUUCCUGGAAUAGUAUAGAUCAUUAUUCUUGUGUGUGGGGCUCUCCUCUGAUCCUACCUAGCAUUUGGCUGUGGAGACAAAGAGCAUCAGGAGUGUCCCACACACAGCUACAUAGUUAAUUUGAGGCUACCCUUGGCAGCAUGAGACACCAUAUCAAAAGCCAAAUCAACAAAACACCAAAAACAUACAUAAAAAUUUUUAGAUAAUUUUAGCUAUUUGGAAUAGUAAUAUUACUUAGCUAUAGGAUACUUCCUCAGUUAAUAAUACAGGAUGCUAAUCUUAACUGCUAACCAGUUAUGUAGUGUAUGAUAACAAAAGGUUGAAAGAAUAGUCAUUUUAGGUAAUAACCUUGGAAAAUACAGUUCAGAAAGUAAUUUACCCAUUCCUAAUACAAUUUUAGAAAUAUAUAACUGAUACAUCUACAUCUGGUUAGAACACUACUACAAAAUUAUUGAAUCAAAGAUUUCAAGUAGUGUUUUUUUCUCCCCUGUGGGUCUAUCUUCAUUGUAAAAUCACCUUUAUUGUAACUUGUGUUUCUUCACUUGCCAUCAACACACAUAUUCACUUAAUUUUCUUCUUAUCUUAAUGAAUUAUACCUUUGGUUAGUUGUAAGCAAUUCUUUUAUUAUACUUGGCUCAUUUCAUUUUAAGCAAAAGAGGUAUGUAUAGCCUUUAAUGUACAAGCAUACAUUUUAAAAAAUAUUAUAAUGAGAUAUUUCUUAGUCUAGAGCAUGUACAUAUAAGGCCAAAUAGUUUUCAUGUGUAAUCAUUUGAUUUUUGUCAGUGUUCAGGCAUCUCCAAAACAUUGAAAAACUCUUGUUAGCACUUGAAUAGUGAACCAGUUAAAGUUUCCCCCUCAUUUUGUAUUUGAAUUCUAAAUAAUAUUUCUAUCUACAGAGCAGCCCAGAAAACAAUAAAAAUCUCACCUCAUAGAACCCUGUUAUCUUGGAAUUUCUGCAGUUGUUUAGCACUCCUCAAGUAAGCCUUUGUUUUUUAGACUAUUUCAGGUAAAA
rnacentral:lncRNA from 1 species